CUACAAACCCGAACUAUCGCCGCAAAUUUAUUUGAGGAGGAAAGUCUGGACAGUAUAGGGCAACCCACCGGUGAAUAGCCGGCUUUUGUGCAAACAAAAAGAGAGAGUGCCACAGAAAAUAACCGUCGCAAAGCAAUUUGAGAUAAGGGUGAAAAUGUAGGGUAAGAGCCUACGAUGUAAUGUAGUAAUGCAUUUCAUGGGUAAACCUUGGGUACUGUAAUGCCACGUAUAGAUGCGUUUGAGGGCGGCUCGUCCGAUGCAUCAGGGUAGGCAGCAACAGGUAAACAGUAAUGUUUAUCGUAGAUAAAUGAUAGUGUAAAAACAGGAUCCGGCUUAUGAGGUUUGUAGCAUU
rnacentral:RNase_P_RNA from 1 species